GCCCCGACCCCGCCAGCCAUUGGCCGGCCCCGCGGGCCCCGCGCCCCGCGCCCCGCGCCCCACCAGUGGCCCGCGCGACUGUCACUUAGGGGCGCCGCCACGCAGCCUGCGGAGCGUUCGGGAGGCUGGCCCGGCUCAUCGGUGUCACGGCGAGGUCCGGAGCGGAGCCGCGGUCUCGGGUCCCAGCUCUGGGCGCCGGCCUGCUCCCCGCCGCCCCGCUGCCACAUCUGGCUGAGAUCCUCCCGGCGCGUGCAGGGACCGCUCCGGCGGCCAACAAAGGCCCGGGCGAGCCCUCGGCCUGCGCCUCGGCGCGCGACCCGACCACCCGGGGCUGCCCCAGCUCCCAGGCGCCUGCCUGCCUCGACCCGGCCCCUUCCCAGCGGCGCGCCCCGCUCCGGGCCGCCCAAACUGGGCGGCCUCCCCGGGGACAGGUCCCGGGCCCAGCCCCACAGGAGCUCCCGAGGCCCCGCGGACGGUCGCGACAGCCCCAACUUCCCGGAAAGAAGACCAAGAUGUAAGCACACCUGAGCAGAUCCUUUUCCAAGUAUCCUGAUGUCUCCAAGGGCUGUUCAGAUUCCAAAGAGAACUAUCUACAAGUUAAUCUCUGUUACUGGAGUCAUUCAUUCUCCGUAGUAAUCUGCUCCACAGAAUUCCUCUUCUCUUCCCUCCCAUAACCUGUUUUACCAGGAUCCAAGCCUCCAUUCUUUCUGUAACCUCAUUGGGAAGUUGGUUCUUCAUUUGGAAGGCUCCCAUGUGUACAUGUUAAAUAAAUAUCUAUGCCUUUUCUUCUGUUAAUCAGUCUGCUUCAGUCAGUGAUUUUUAGUGAAACUUUAGGGGGCCAAGGGCCUUGGUCCUCAUAUUUGCUUGUCCAAUAUCAAUUCUUCACUCUUCUUUACUAAUAGAAUCCUGAUUUGGGUGGGGGCAGGGGGGCACGACAAUGUACCCAACUAAAUAAAUACCUUUCCCAGUCUCUCUUGAAGAUAUGGGUGAAAAUAUGAUAAAGUUCCUGUCAUUGAUAGUUAAGCAGAAGUUGUGAGGUGAGGCUUUUAUCUUGGCCCUUCCUCCUUCCUGUUGUGUGGACAAUGGACCUGAUGUCUGGGGCUUUGGCAGUGAUUUUAUGACUAUGAGGACAAAGACCUCACCCUCCAGGGACAGUGGAGUUGAGAACCAGGAGGAGCCUGGGUUGCCAAUGCUUUGAGAAGCUGCCACAUCAGCCCUGAACUGCCUAACUCCAGAUUUCUUGUUAUGUAAAGUCCCUAAUCAGUGGUUCCCAGUUUUCUCACCAGAGAAGCUCUAAAAAUUAUUGCUGCCUGGAUCUCACCUCAAAAGGUUCUUAUGUAAUUGAUAUGGGGUGUGGCCUAGACAUUUGGUUUUUAAUAUCUUCCAGAUGAUUCUAGUAUAAGUCCCUUUCGGCUAAGAACGGUUUGGCACCAUGGGGUGUUAG
rnacentral:lncRNA from 1 species